ACGAACGCUGGCGGCGCGCCUAACACAUGCAAGUCGAACGGUGAACGGGGCUUCGGCCCCGGGAUCAGUGGCGAACGGGUGCGUAACACGUGGGCAACCUGCCCCUCACUCUGGGAUAACCCCGGGAAACCGGAGCUAAUACCGGAUACUCCGCUCCCGCCGCAUGGCGGGAUCGGGAAAGGUCCGCCGGUGAGGGAUGGGCCCGCGGCCUAUCAGCUUGUUGGUGGGGUAACGGCCCACCAAGGCGACGACGGGUAGCUGGUCUGAGAGGACGACCAGCCACACUGGGACUGAGAUACGGCCCAGACUCCUACGGGAGGCAGCAGUGGGGAAUCUUGCACAAUGGGCGAAAGCCUGAUGCAGCGACGCCGCGUGAGGGAUGAAGGCCCUCGGGUUGUAAACCUCUUUCGGCAGGGACGAAGCGAUCGUGACGGUACCUGCAGAAGAAGCCUCGGCUAACUACGUGCCAGCAGCCGCGGUAAGACGUAGGAGGCGAGCGUUGUCCGGAUUCAUUGGGCGUAAAGAGCGCGCAGGCGGCUUGGUAAGUCGGAUGUGAAAACCCGAGGCUCAACCUCGGACGUGCAUCCGAAACUGCCCGGCUAGAGGUAGGUAGGGGAGAUCGGAAUUCCUGGUGUAGCGGUGAAAUGCGCAGAUAUCAGGAGGAACACCGGUGGCGAAGGCGGAUCUCUGGGCCUUACCUGACGCUCAGGCGCGAAAGCUAGGGGAGCGAACUGGAUUAGAUACCCAGGUAGUCCUAGCUGUAAACGUUGGGUGCUAGGUGUGGGCGGAUAUCGACCCCGUCCGUGCCGAAGCUAACGCAUUAAGCACCCCGCCUGGGGAGUACGGCCGCAAGGCUAAAACUCAAAGGAAUUGACGGGGCCCCGCACAAGCGGCGGAGCAUGUUGCUUAAUUCGAUGCGACGCGAAGAACCUUACCUGGGCUUGACAUGCAGGGUGAAACCCGUGAAAGCGGGCGCUCUUCGGAGCCUGCACAGGUGGUGCAUGGCUGUCGUCAGCUCGUGCCGUGAGGUGUUGCCUUAAGUGGCGCAACGAGCGCAACCCCUGUCCCUAGUUGCCAGCGGAUCAUGCCGGGAACUCUAGGGAGACUGCCGGUGCCAAACCGGAGGAAGGUGGGGAUGAAGUCAAGUCCUCAUGCCCCUUACUGUCCAGAGCUGCAACACUAGCUACAAUGCUCGGUACAAAGGAGUUGCAGAUCCCGCGAAGGGGGGAGCCAAUCUCAAAAAAGCCGGGCUCAGUUCGGAUUGCAGGUCUGCAACCUCGACUGCAGUGAAGCUGGAAGUCGCUAGUAAUCGCAUGAUCAGCAUGCAUGCGGUGAAUACGUUCCCGGGCCCUGUACACACCGCCCGUCACAUCACGAAAGCCGUUGGGCAACUACGAAGCCGGGCAUUAACCCAUGGAGAGGAGCCGUCCGAAGGUAGGGACUGGUGAUUGGGGUG
rnacentral:rRNA from 1 species